AUUCCAGCUCCAGUAGCGUAUAUUAAAGUUGCUGCAGUUAAAAAGCUCGUAGUUGGAUUUCUGGUGUGGUGGGCCCGGUCCGCCGACGCUAGUCGUGUGAGUACUGGCGCCCGCCUGCCAUCCUUCCGGAGAGCCCGCCUACCCUUCACUGGGCCGGGCGAUCAGGCGAUCUGGAACGUUUACUUUGAAAAAUUAGAGUGUUUAAAGCAGGCUUACGCUUCUGAAUACAUUAGCAUGGAAUAAUAAGAUAGGACUUUGGUUCUAUUUUGUUGGUUUCUAGGACCGAAGUAAUGAUUGAUAGGGACAGUUGGGGUGCUAGUAUUUAACGGCCAGAGGUGAAAUUCUUGGAUUCGUUAAAGACUAACUAAUGCGAAAGCAUUCACCAAGGAUGUCUUCUUUUAAUCAAGAACGAAAGUUGGGGAUCGAAGAGGAUCAGAUACCCUCGUAGUCUCAACCAUAAACGAUACCGACUAGGGAUCAGUGGACGCUG
rnacentral:rRNA from 1 species